UAAGGAAUAUUGGUCAAUGGAGGCAACUCUGAACCAGCCAUGCCGCGUGCAGGAUGAAGGCCCUAUGGGUCGUAAACUGCUUUUGUACGGGAAGAAACCCCUUUACGUGUAAAGGGUUGACGGUACCGUAAGAAUAAGGAUCGGCUAACUUCGUGCCAGCAGCCGCGGUAAUACGAAGGAUCCAAGCGUUAUCCGGAUUUAUUGGGUUUAAAGGGUGCGUAGGCGGCUUAUUAAGUCAGUGGUGAAAGCCUGCAGCUUAACUGCAGAACUGCCAUUGAUACUGAUGAGCUUGAGUAUAGUUGAGGUGGGCGGAAUGUGUCAUGUAGCGGUGAAAUGCUUAGAUAUGACACAGAACACCGAUUGCGAAGGCAGCUCGCUAAACUAUAACUGACGCUGAGGCACGAAAGCGUGGGGAGCGAACAGG
rnacentral:rRNA from 1 species